rnacentral:rRNA from 1 species
GACGAACGCUGGCGGCGUGCUUAACACAUGCAAGUCGAACGGAAAGGCCCUGCUUUUGUGGGGUGCUCGAGUGGCGAACGGGUGAGUAACACGUGAGUAACCUGCCCUUGACUUUGGGAUAACUUCAGGAAACUGGGGCUAAUACCGGAUAGGAGCUCCUACUGCAUGGUGGGGGUUGGAAAGUUUCGGCGGUUGGGGAUGGACUUGCGGCUUAUCAGCUUGUUGGUGGGGUAGUGGCUUACCAAGGCUUUGACGGGUAGCCGGCCUGAGAGGGUGACCGGCCACAUUGGGACUGAGAUACGGCCCAGACUCCUACGGGAGGCAGCAGUGGGGAAUAUUGCACAAUGGGCGGAAGCCUGAUGCAGCAACGCCGCGUGCGGGAUGACGGCCUUCGGGUUGUAAACCGCUUUCGCCUGUGACGAAGCGUGAGUGACGGUAAUGGGUAAAGAAGCACCGGCUAACUACGUGCCAGCAGCCGCGGUGAUACGUAGGGUGCGAGCGUUGUCCGGAUUUAUUGGGCGUAAAGGGCUCGUAGGUGGUUGAUCGCGUCGGAAGUGUAAUCUUGGGGCUUAACCCUGAGCGUGCUUUCGAUACGGGUUGACUUGAGGAAGGUAGGGGAGAAUGGAAUUCCUGGUGGAGCGGUGGAAUGCGCAGAUAUCAGGAGGAACACCAGUGGCGAAGGCGGUUCUCUGGGCCUUUCCUGACGCUGAGGAGCGAAAGCGUGGGGAGCGAACAGGCUUAGAUACCCUGGUAGUCCACGCUGUAAACGGUGGGUACUAGGCGUGGGGUCCAUUCCACGGGUUCCGUGCCGUAGCUAACGCUUUAAGUACCCCGCCUGGGGAGUACGGCCGCAAGGCUAAAACUCAAAGGAAUUGACGGGGCCCCGCACAAGCGGCGGAGCAUGCGGAUUAAUUCGAUGCAACGCGUAGAACCUUACCUGGGUUUGACAUGGAUCGGGAGUGCUCAGAGAUGGGUGUGCCUCUUUUGGGGUCGGUUCACAGGUGGUGCAUGGCUGUCGUCAGCUCGUGUCGUGAGAUGUUGGGUUAAGUCCCGCAACGAGCGCAACCCUUGUUCACUGUUGCCAGCACGUUAUGGUGGGGACUCAGUGGAGACCGCCGGGGUCAACUCGGAGGAAGGUGGGGAUGACGUCAAGUCAUCAUGCCCCUUAUGUCCAGGGCUUCACGCAUGCUACAAUGGCUGGUACAGAGAGUGGCGAGCCUGUGAGGGUGAGCGAAUCUCGGAAAGCCGGUCUCAGUUCGGAUUGGGGUCUGCAACUCGACCUCAUGAAGUCGGAGUCGCUAGUAAUCGCAGAUCAGCAACGCUGCGGUGAAUACGUUCCCGGG